CGAGGUAUGAGGGAAUUCUCUCUUCUCCUCCUGGCCUAAUUUCCAUUCAGAUUGCCUACAUUCAGAAGCAUGUAGGUUUCAUCCGAACUUAUUACUCACACACACAGGACCAUUUCUGCUAUGAAACUGCUUUGUAUGAAGAUCUGAAAAUAAACUGAACUUGAUCACAUUCCCUUAUAGUAUGAUAGAGGAUGACUUGCUUGCUAACACAUGUUUUUGAAAGAGAAGCAAGAUUUAAUUAUAUCCACUGGAUCAAUCAUCAGAUUCAACCUGACAUUUCCAGAUGUAUUGGCCUUUAAAUCUCAGCCAUUGGAAGCAUUAAAUUUGCAGUUUGCAGACAAUCCUGGGAACUGCAACUCAACACAUCCAGACAAUGACAGGUUGAGUAAAGUAUGUUUUAAAGCAGAGAAAAUGUUAUCAUCAAACCCUCUUUUUUGAUACCCUCUCUUUUGAUACUUUCACAAAGAUCAGGAUUUAAAUUUCAAACACUUGAAAACAUCAGUAAUUAUUUUCAGAAUGGUUAAAUUUGAAAUGAAAAAUGUCUUCUAUUAUGAAUUUUCAGAUUUUUAAUAUCAGUAUUUGCCCUACCAAUAUUAUCUGUGACAGUUAUGUGGUUUGCUAUAAUAGCUACCUUUCAAAUGUGUUUGAUUUCAUCCUCCCUCUCCAGCUCUGAACAUUGGUUGGGAAAAGCUGUUAAAAUCUGUGAAGUGUUCCAUGUGUCUGUAUAAUGUGAAUUUAAAUUACAUUAAAAUGAAUGAUUUGUGAUAAACUUUGUUAGAAUAUCAGC